AACGAACGCUGGCGGCAUGCCUAACACAUGCAAGUCGAACGACACCACCGUAUGUAGUUGCGCACGGGUGCGUAACGUGGCGGAACCUGCCCUUAGGUUCGGAAUAACUCCUUGUCGGGGGUGCUAACACCGGAUAAUGUCUUCGGACCCAAGAUUUAUCGUGUUUGGAUGGGCACGCGUUGGUUGAGCCAGUGGGUAGUGUAAAAGCCUAUCACGGGGUCGUUCCAUAGCUGGUCUGAGAGAAAGAUCAGCCACGCUGGGACUGGGACCCGGCCCAGAAUCCUACGGGAGGCAGCAGUGGGGAAUAUUGGAAAAUGGGCGAAAGCCUGAUCCAGCAAUGCCGCGUGAGUGAUGAAGGCCUUAGGGUUGUAAAGCUCUUUUACCCGGGAUGAUAAUGGCAGUACCGGGAGAAUAAGCUCCGGCUAACUCCGUG
rnacentral:rRNA from 1 species